GAAUAUCAAAAAUAUUUAUUAUUAUAAAGCAUAAAUAAUCCUUCUAUGUCCUAUUCAUACAAUUAAAAAAUUUCCAUUUGAAAUUACUUCACGUCUAUACGACUCCAACUGUUUGAUAAAUAAUUCUUUGAUUUUGAAUUUUGCCGCGCUUAACGUCGAUAAAGUAGAGAUAAUGUCAAGCGACCGUGAAUGUUGCCAGAAUUUAAAGAACCACAUAUAUAUAUAUAUAUAAAGAAUUUUGAACCAACAUUUUGGAUUGAUAUUUCUAUCGAAAUUUGAAGGAUUUUAAUGCAAAACUUUAUAUUUAGCAAUAUUCAAUAAACAUAUUCAUUUUUAUUAAAAUUAUUUUAAUUAAAAUCAAUUUUAGCAACGCCACUGUUCUCAAACAAGAUAAAUAUUCUGUUUGUGUAUAUAUAAUUUUUUGGUUAAAUAUUUUGUUAUGGUUGCAACUCUCCUCUGUUCUAAAUAGAUAUAAUAGAUUUGUCACUAAGUUGAAGGAAAUUCGUGAAAAAAAUCUGGCAACAUAGAAAGAAAUAAUUAAGUUACUGAAGGAAAUUCCGAAGUCAAAGUAUAACUGAAAUCAAUACUCGUACAUAGGGGGAAAUUACAUUAUAAACGUUGGUAGUCGUACAGUAAUGGUUUUCAGCGUUGUCAGAUUUAUUGCCAUUGUUUUCUGUCGUUUUUCAUAAAUAAUUGAUCAAUUUUUCUGUUUUUUAUAGUUUUUCAUAAAUAGUUGAAACAAUUAUAAUUAUUGCUCAUAUUUUGUAAUAAAUGUCACCACAGUAAGUAAAAUAUAAUUUAUGCAAACAACUGCAAAAAAUUACGAAGUGGCGACGCUGUAGAAUAUUUGUCAUCCAUAUUCUAAUUAUGUAAACUUAACCUAAAAGUUGUUUAAGUUUUUUUAAGGUAGAAUGAACUGAAUUCUUUAUGUAUUUGUAGUGUAGGUUAUAUAAAAAAACUUUAUUUUACUGAACACAAAAUAAUGGACAAAAGUUAAGGUCCAACCCACUGCUCGAUAAGGAAACCUUCAUUGUAAUGGCUCCUUAUUAAACCUAUCAACAUUUCUACAGAAAAAGUUGGUAAAAUCCAAUUUUUUUUCAAAACCGGCCAACCUCCGAGAUGAUCCAGAACGUCCCUGAUUGGUCUAUCUCCAAUUUUACGAAUAUUGUCUACAAUAUAUGCAUUAUUUUCAAAACUGUCGCACCGUAUCUAUCUUUAGAACGUUAUCAAUAUUUUCAGAUUACUUCUGACGAUAUUUUUUUGAUCUAUAUGAUAUUUCGAUGAAAUUUAAAACAACCAUACUUAUAUAAAGUGAAAUUCACUUGUUUCGAUCAUAUCCCGGGAAUCUUCAGUUAUAGCAGUUUGCUUUGGUAUUUCAUUUUGUAAUUUAAACAGUGUUGCCACUUUAAUCAAGAGGCUAGCAAUUCAAAAAGUAAUAUAUUUCGUUAUUUGUUCACAUAUACUUACGUAAAUCCAUGCAGGUACCAUAAAACAGCUUGGCUUUCCUCGUUGCCUCACUAUCAUUGAGAUUCAUAGGUUUUUCGAGAACCCCUACGAUUGUAAACCAAAAAUUACUGAUUUAGAUCUGCACACAUUAGAAACAAUGUUAUUUCUUAUAUUUUCUUGGCUGGUUUUUGGAUAGUACCAGCAAUGGGUAAGCUAUCGUGACGCAUCUAACAAAUGGUGUAACUGAAACCUGUCAUGAGACAUCCGAGACUCCGUAUACACACUAUCAGCAUCACCGACGACCCGGAGUGCCGCUGGUGCAUGGAAGAGGAUGAAACCUCGGGCCACGUCAUCUGUGAAUGCUCAGAACUCGCGCGAGCGCAAUUUAAACACCCUAAUAACAUCAAAAUGUUCGAGCUAAAGCGCCUGAUCGGCUUCCCAAAGGACAUCAAGUGGGGCACGAAGGGCCUAUCUGAAUGCCUAUGUGUUCAACGACCCCUGGGAGGCCACUAUGCAACUAUGAACAUCUGAUAGAUUUUUUUAUCAAUAAAUGAUUACCUUACCUUUGAGAAUUACCUGUAAUUGAUCCGCCAUAACCUCAAACGUACUUAUAGAACUUCUAUCUUCGGGUAUUAAAUGAAUUUUGUUCCAAGUGCCGCAUGCGUAUUGGAAAAAAUCUACGCAAGGAUCGGCGGUUCGGUCCAUGGCGGCCAAUAACGACGAUGCUACAAAUACAGUUCGUUAUUUAAUUUUGAUUUUAUUUAUAUUAUACUUACCAGUGCGUACACAUUCUUCCGUCAAGCAAAUUGUUUUCUUCUUUACUAAAAACGUAAAAUAAUCUAUUGAAAAAUAUUGUACGAGUCAAUGAUGUUGAUAAUUUUGGACAGAACCAAUUCAAACAUUAUUUAGGUAUUAGUAUUAUAAGUGAAAUACAAGCGCUACCUAUGUGAGAGUAGCCGAACUAGCCACUUAUAAUACCCUAAAUUCUUGUAGAGGUAACUUCUUAAAACAAGUAUCCAUAAAUAAUACAACGACGCCAUCUAUGUGCGAGAAGAUUGUCUGGGAACAGUUUUGAAACUUCUCACUAGAAAAUUUCUGUAUUUGACACUAAAUGGCGACACCAUACGCAACGAUAGCUUCAAGAAUAUGUUUAUAAAGUAUUUAAUAUUUUUAUUAUUAUUUUAUAAAUGUGUUUUUGUGCAGAAUUAAACGAGGUUUUAUCAUAUUCUAUCCGUACCUUUCCCUCUCCCUAUAUUAUUAUGUAAUGCGAAAUGAUUUCUCGUUAGCGCGAUAGAUGGCGCCAUCAUAAAUGCAUCAAAUAUUCGUAUAAUUCAAAACACAGAAAUAUUUUCCUAGCGAUUCCGGAUUUACGAUGUGCUGUAUUACUGUUUAUAUGUAAUUAUAAUGAAUUUAUCAAUUAAUUGUAUACAUUUUGUAAAUAUCGGUAGUACAGUGUUGCCCCCUAACGGUGAAUAGCAGAAAUAAUUCAUGUGUUAAAAGUUAACUUAAGGGAAUGAGUGAUUUUAAUUUUUUUUAUUUGAAAAUAAUAAAAUCAAAAAUAUAUUUAAUUGUUUUAAAUUAAAAUUAAACAACUUUGAAGCCUAUUAUGAUUAAGAAGGAUAAAUUUUACGUUUAUUUAAUAAAUUUGUACGUUGAAAAGAGAUUUAAAUUUCGCGCUAUAAAUAAAAUUUAAAUUUGCCGGUAAAAUAGGUGAUGUUUUUAGCGCUAGAUGUCAUCAGAACAAAUAACAGUCUUUAGUAAUCAUAUUUAAGGUACCAUAUUAUUUAAAACUACUCUAACUACUACUUCAUAGAUGGCGGGGCCGUAGUAUUUCCAUUUAUUCCAUAAAUUACUACCUAUGAAAUUGUUUACAUGCUUUAAAACAAUUUUUAUAAAAGAAAACUUUGAAAUUACUGCUAGGAUAUUAAAAAAAAUUUUCCAUUGUAGUAAAAUUAACGUAUUUUUGAUUAAAUACGAGGUGAUACGUUACUUAUGAAUAUAUUUGUUACGUGGAAGUAUAUUUUAAUAAUAUUAAGGUGAAUAAAAUGUUCAAAUAUUUCGACU